UACGUAGGCAGCAAGCGUUGUUCGGAAUUACUGGGCGUAAAGAGUGUGUAGGCGGUGCUCUAAGUUCGGUGUGAAAUCUCCCGGCUCAACUGGGAGGGUGCGCCGAAAACUGGGGUGCUGGAGCGCGGGAGAGGAAAGCGGAAUUCCUGGUGUAGCGGUGAAAUGCGUAGAUAUCAGGAGGAACACCCGGCGGUGUAGACGGCUUUCUGGACCGUAGCUGACGCUGAGACACGAAAGCGUGGGGUAGCAAACAGG
rnacentral:rRNA from 1 species